rnacentral:lncRNA from 1 species
CCUGGACAAGGGGAACUGUUUCAACAUAUCACAUGUCAGCGUUCUCUGGUUGAAAUCAAGCACCUAUAUUAAUAUUGAACAGUGAUUGGUUUGGUUUGGUGAUAAUAAUAGAGUGACUGCAUGGGGGUCUAUAAUGCUUAGACUAGGAGGAGACCAUGUGACCUGACCAUGUGACCUGACCAGGAAAUACUGACCCUAUAUGACAGUGUUUCCCUCCUCCAGUACCCCCCCAACAGCCCAACUCCAGUCCUCCAUACCCCCCCAACAGCCCAACUCCAGUCCUCCAGUACCCCCCAACAGCCCA